rnacentral:rRNA from 1 species
UGGGGGAUAUUGCACGAUGGGCGAAAGCCUGAUGCAGCGACGCCGCGUGGGGGAUGAAGGCCUUCGGGUUGUAAACUUCUUUUGCUCUGAACAAGGCAUGCCUUUGGGGUGUGUUGAGUGUAGGGGUUGAUUAGCGCCGACUAACUACGUGCCAGCAGCCGCGGUAAUACGUAGGGCGCGAGCGUUGUCCGGAAUUAUUGGGCGUAAAGGGCUUGUAGGUGGCUGGUUGCGUCUGUCGUGAAAGCUCAUGGCUUAACUGUGGGUUUGCGGUGGGUACGGGCUGGCUUGAGUGCAGUAGGGGAGGCUGGAAUUCCUGGUGUAGCGGUGGAAUGCGCAGAUAUCAGGAGGAAUACCGGUGGCGAAGGCGGGUCUCUGGGCUGUUACUGACGCUGAGGAGCGAAAGCGUGGGGAGCGAACAGG